rnacentral:rRNA from 1 species
AUUGAACGCUGGCGGCAUGCCUUACACAUGCAAGUCGAACGGCAGCACGGGUGCUUGCACCUGGUGGCGAGUGGCGAACGGGUGAGUAAUACAUCGGAACAUGUCCUGUAGUGGGGGAUAGCCCGGCGAAAGCCGGAUUAAUACCGCAUACGAUCUACGGAUGAAAGCGGGGGACCUUCGGGCCUCGCGCUAUAGAGUUGGCCGAUGGCUGAUUAGCUAGUUGGUGGGGUAAAGGCCUACCAAGGCGACGAUCAGCAGCUGGUCUGAGAGGACGACCAGCCACACUGGGACUGAGACACGGCCCAGACUCCUACGGGAGGCAGCAGUGGGGAAUUUUGGACAAUGGGCGAAAGCCUGAUCCAGCAAUGCCGCGUGUGUGAAGAAGGCCUUCGGGUUGUAAAGCACUUUUGUCCGGAAAGAAAUCCUUGGCCCUAAUACGGUCGGGGGAUGACGGUACCGGAAGAAUAAGCACCGGCUAACUACGUG